rnacentral:rRNA from 1 species
UUUAAUUGAAGAGUUUGAUCAUGGCUCAGAUUGAACGCUGGCGGCAGGCCUAACACAUGCAAGUCGAGCGGCAGCACAAGUGAGUUUACUC